AGUUUACAUCACAGAAGGUCGUUUUUUUCAUAUGUUUCUCCUGGACUAAUGGACUAAUUUCCUGGAUAAUUUAUGAGCAAUAGUGAGUUAUGGACAGUGUGUGUGGAAACAUGUUUUUCUGUUUUAUUUCCUUUAGUUAAAGAGAAAUCUUCCAUACCCCUCGAUACACUGCUAAAAGUGACCGAUGAGACUGGGACAGAGGUGGAUCAAGAUGUGUUUGCUGAUCUCACAACCUCAAAAGACAUCUGCUUUAUCAUUGAGAAUGAGUGUGAUUCCUCCUACUCAAACCUGUCCUCACCAAGCUUGACUUUUUUUGUAAAUGGCAGACCUUUGUAUUGGAAUGACUGACUAGUCAAGUUAUUGAGCAGUUGUUGAGCAGUGAAGCUGGUUAAAGCUGAAUAAAAGUUUUAACUUUA